UGGGGAAUAUUGGACAAUGGGCGAAAGCCUGAUCCAGCCAUGCCGCGUGAGUGAUGAAGGCCCUAGGGUUGUAAAGCUCUUUUGUGCGGGAAGAUAAUGACGGUACCGCAAGAAUAAGCCCCGGCUAACUUCGUGCCAGCAGCCGCGGUAAUACGAAGGGGGCUAGCGUUGCUCGGAAUCACUGGGCGUAAAGGGUGCGUAGGCGGGUUUCUAAGUCAGAGGUGAAAGCCUGGAGCUCAACUCCAGAACUGCCUUUGAUACUGGAAGUCUUGAGUUCGGGAGAGGUGAGUGGAACUGCGAGUGUAGAGGUGAAAUUCGUAGAUAUUCGCAAGAACACCAGUCGCGAAGGCGGCUCACUGGCCCGAUACUGACGCUGAGGCACGAAAGCGUGGGGAGCAAACA
rnacentral:rRNA from 1 species